UACGUAGGGACCAAGCGUUGUUCGGAUUUACUGGGCGUAAAGGGCGCGUAGGCGGCUUAACAAGUCACUUGUGAAAUCUCCGGGCUUAACUCGGAACGGCCAAGUGAAACUGUCAAGCUAGAGUGCGGAAGGGGCAAUCGGAAUUCUUGGUGUAGCGGUGAAAUGCGUAGAUAUCUGCAGGAACACCCGUGGCGAAAGCGGCGCGCUGGACCACUACUGACGCUGAGGAACGAAAGCUAGGGGAGCAAACAGG
rnacentral:rRNA from 1 species